rnacentral:lncRNA from 1 species
GCCCCACUUUUUUCAAAGUUUUUAUCGCACAAAAAAUAUUCCAUACCCCAAUCUAAUCUAAUUAGAAAGUCUCUUUGAUAAGGUAUCUAUUUAAAUCAUAUUUGGAUAGUUAUCUUAAAGAGAGAGUCCCAGAAGGAUAGGACACCAACUAUUGGAGCCCCUCUUCUCUUCACGUGCACAAGAAAAUAAGGGACGCGUCUCAACAUGCGCCCUCCCCUUCUUGGCAUGAAAUCUAAAGAGAGAGUCCCAAAAAAAUCCGAGCUCUAUGAGUCAUAAUUCAUCUAAUUCAAAUUGGAUCUCAAUUAGAUUCAAAUCAAGUCCGAAUCG